GUCUUCGGACGCUGACGAGUGGUGAACGGGUGAGUAAUACAUCGGAACGUGCCCAGUCGUGGGGGAUAACUACUCGAAAGAGUAGCUAAUACCGCAUACGAUCUGAGGAUGAAAGCGGGGGACCUUCGGGCCUCGCGCGAUUGGAGCGGCCGAUGGCAGAUUAGGUAGUUGGUGGGAUAAAAGCUUACCAAGCCGACGAUCUGUAGCUGGUCUGAGAGGACGACCAGCCACACUGGGACUGAGACACGGCCCAGACUCCUACGGGAGGCAGCAGUGGGGAAUUUUGGACAAUGGGCGAAAGCCUGAUCCAGCAAUGCCGCGUGCAGGAUGAAGGCCUUCGGGUUGUAAACUGCUUUUGUACGGAACGAAAAAGCUCCUUCUAAUACAGGGGGCCCAUGACGGUACCGUAAGAAUAAGCACCGGCUAACUACGUGCCAGCAGCCGCGGUAAUACGUAGGGUGCGAGCGUUAAUCGGAAUUACUGGGCGUAAAGCGUGCGCAGGCGGUUAUGUAAGACAGAUGUGAAAUCCCCGGGCUCAACCUGGGAACUGCAUUUGUGACUGCAUGGCUAGAGUACGGUAGAGGGGGAUGGAAUUCCGCGUGUAGCAGUGAAAUGCGUAGAUAUGCGGAGGAACACCGAUGGCGA
rnacentral:rRNA from 1 species